rnacentral:rRNA from 1 species
AGAGUUUGAUCCUGGCUCAGGACGAACGCUGGCGGCGUGCUUAACACAUGCAAGUCGAACGGAUUGCUUGGUGCUUGCACUGAGUGGUUAGUGGCGAACGGGUGAGUAACACGUGAGUAACCUGCCCCCUUCUUUGGGAUAAGCACCUGAAAGGGUGUCUAAUACUGAUUAUUCUGCUGGAAUCGCAUGGUUUUGGUUGGAAAGGUUUUUCUGGUGGGGGAUGGGCUCGCGGCUUAUCAGCUUGUUGGUGGGGUAAUGGCUUACCAAGGCUUUGACGGGUAACCGGCCUGAGAGGGUGACCGGUCACAUUGGGACUGAGAUACGGCCCAGACUCCUACGGGAGGCAGCAGUGGGGAAUAUUGCACAAUGGACGAAAGUCUGAUGCAGCGACGCCGCGUGAGGGAUGAAGGCCUUCGGGUUGUAAACCUUUUUCGCUUUUGACCAAGGCAGCAUUUUGGUGUUGUUGAGGGUAUGAGGUAAAGAAGCUCCGGCUAACUACGUGCCAGCAGCCGCGGUAAUACGUAGGGAGCGAGCGUUGUCCGGAUUUAUUGGGCGUAAAGAGCUCGUAGGCGGCUUGUCGCGUCUGCUGUGAAAUCCUGG